rnacentral:rRNA from 1 species
GUCCUACGGGGGGCUGCAGUCGAGAAUCUUCGGCAAUGGGCGCAAGCCUGACCGAGCGACGCCGCGUGCGGGAUGAAGGCCCUUGGGUUGUAAACCGCUGUCGGGGGGGAUGAAAGCGUAAGCUUGACAGAGCCCCGGAGGAAGCACGGGCUAAGUUCGUGCCAGCAGCCGCGGUAAUACGAACUGUGCGAACGGUAUUCGGAAUCACUGGGCUUACAGGGUGCGUAGGCGGCGAUGCAAGUCAGGUGUGAAAGCCCACGGCUCAACCGUGGAACUGCGCUUGAAACUGCAUUGCUCGAGUGAGCUAGAGGUAGACGGAACUUCCGGUGGAGCGGUGAAAUGUGUUGAUAUCGGAAGGAACACCAGAGGCGAAAGCGGUCUACUGGAGCUUGUCUGACGCUGAGGCACGAAAGCCAGGGGAGCAAACGGGAUUAGAUACCCGUGUAGUCC